AUAUGUCCACAAUUGACCUUCUAUUCAACACUCAUUGAAUAUUUAUUUUAUUCACUCAUUCACUGUAUAAGAAUUAACUGAACACCUACUACCAUUCUGGAGAUUCAGUAGAGAACAAAACAGAAACUACCUACUAAUAUGGAAGCUUGAAAAUUAAUCUUCUGUAGAUGAUCUCUGAGUGGGCCAAGGCUGAGCUCCAGACUCCUGCGCUGCAUACCCUAAACCUACAAGACUGAGACCAGGUUCACAGUUUUGUCCUCUGGUCCUUCAAGGUCAAGUCCCAGAUGGGCUGGAGGGGCCAACAUGCUCCCAGACUACUGGCAAGAGCACACCAUGGGGAUGGCAGGAGAGCCAUGGGCAUAAGUGCUCCAGCAGAGGCAGUGGGGACACCACAGGGUGGACACUGCUAUGGAAUGAAACUUCUUCAAUUUGACAAGGGACAACUAUCAUCAGACUUAUAAGUGAACAACUUUCUACCUAAAGUGAGAAAUAAAGUCAGGAUGGCCACUCUGACCACUUCUAUUUGCUAUUCUUCUGGAUGCCCUAACCCAGUGAAAUAAA